GGAAAAGAAAUCAACCGAGAUUCCGAAAGUAGCGGCGAGCGAAAUUGGAUUAGCCCUUAAGCUUUACAUGUGUUAGACGAACGGUCUGGAAAGUCCGACGAUACAGGGUGAUAGUCCCGUAGUUGACGAUGCAUGUUCAGUGAAAUCGAGUAGGGCGGGACACGUGUUAUCCUGUCUGAAUAUGGGGGGACCAUCCUCCAAGGCUAAAUACUCCUGACUGACCGAUAGUGAACCAGUACCGUGAGGGAAAGGCGA
rnacentral:rRNA from 1 species